rnacentral:rRNA from 1 species
UGAAGUAGUUGAUGCCAAGCUUCCAGGAAAAGCCUCUAAGCUCUAGGUAACAUUGAAUCGUACCCCAAACCGACACAGGUGGUCAGGUAGAGAAUACCAAGGCGCUUGAGAGAACUCGGGUGAAGGAACUAGGCAAAAUGGUGCCGUAACUUCGGGAGAAGGCACGCUGGCGCGUAGGUGAAGUCCCUUGCGGAUGGAGCUGAAGCCAGUCGAAGAUACCAGCUGGCUGCAACUGUUUAAUAAAAACACAGCACUGUGCAAACACGAAAGUGGACGUAUACGGUGUGACGCCUGCCCGGUGCUGGAAGGUUAAUUGAUGGGGUCAGCCGCAAGGCGAAGCUCUUGAUCGAAGCCCCAGUAAACGGCGGCCGUAACUAUAACGGUCCUAAGGUAGCGAAAUUCCUUGUCGGGUAAGUUCCGACCUGCACGAAUGGCGUAAUGAUGGCCAGGCUGUCUCCACCCGAGACUCAGUGAAAUUGAACUCGCUGUGAAGAUGCAGUGUACCCGCGGCAAGACGGAAAGACCCCGUGAACCUUUACUAUAGCUUGACACUGAACAUUGAGCCUUGAUGUGUAGGAUAGGUGGGAGGCUUUGAAGCGUGGACGCCAGUCUGCGUGGAGCCAACCUUGAAAUACCACCCUUUAAUGUUUGAUGUUCUAACUCCGGUCCCUAAUCGGGAUUGAGGACAGUGUCUGGUGGGUAGUUUGACUGGGGCGGUCUCCUCCUAAAGAGUAACGGAGGAGCACGAAGGUUAGCUAAUCACGGUCGGACAUCGUGAGGUUAGUGCAAUGGCAUAAGCUAGCUUGACUGCGAGAGUGACGGCUCGAGCAGGUACGAAAGUAGGUCAUAGUGAUCCGGUGGUUCUGAAUGGAAGGGCCAUCGCUCAACGGAUAAAAGGUACUCCGGGGAUAACAGGCUGAUACCGCCCAAGAGUUCAUAUCGACGGCGGUGUUUGGCACCUCGAUGUCGGCUCAUCACAUCCUGGGGCUGAAGUAGGUCCCAAGGGUAUGGCUGUUCGCCAUUUAAAGUGGUACGCGAGCUGGGUUUAGAACGUCGUGAGACAGUUCGGUCCCUAUCUGCCGUGGGCGUUGGAAGAUUGAGAGGGGCUGCUCCUAGUACGAGAGGACCGGAGUGGACGCAUCACUGGUGUUCGGGUUGUCAUGCCAAUGGCAUUGCCCGGUAGCUAAAUGCGGAAAAGAUAAGCGCUGAAAGCAUCUAAGCGCGAAACUUGCCUCGAGAUGAGUCUUCCCUGAGACCUUGAGUCUCCUAAAGGAACGUUUAAGACUAAGACGUUGAUAGGCUGGGUGUGUAAGCGUAGCGAUACGUUGAGCUAACCAGUACUAAUGAUCCGUGAGGCUUAACCUUACAACACCGAAGGUGUUU